rnacentral:tRNA from 1 species
CAGAAAGUAGUUUAGAGAUAAAACGCCAGCUUUGGGAGUUGGAGAUAGAGGUUUAAGUCCUCUUUUUUUGA